rnacentral:misc_RNA from 1 species
CGCACAUUGCGCCUUCUGGUAUUCCGGUAGGCAUGUCUGUUUGAGCGUCAGCAAAACCCCUCAGCAUACAGUUUUUGUUAACUGUCGGCUGGCUUUGGGCCUGGAAGACGGUGGCGCAAGCCCCUGCUCCAGCCUUAAACUUGCUGCACGACUGCAAGCAUCCAGCUAGGUUAAUGGAGUGGUGUUUACAUUCUUUCCAUACUCUCCUGCUGGUGUUGGCGGCGUUAAACCCGAUGUUGCUUUGCUGCAACUGAAGUUUGACCUCAAAUCAGAUAAGGAUACCCGCUGAACUUAA